AAAGCUUGAAUCCCUAUCCCCAAAGUACAUACUAUUUAUAUAUUAUUUAAAAACAAAUGUUAGUAACAAGCUGAGCUAUUUUAGAUAAAGGCAUUAUACGUAAUAUUCUCAUUGAGCCCCAUAGGAGACACCGUAUUUAAUUGGUGUAUCCAAAAAGCUUCUUUUUGGAGCAACAUUAUACCUCUAUUGCCACCCAUACGAGGGGGAGGGAUGUGAUCUAUACCCACAAACUGGGUAUAUGAUGUAUGUGAAUUUAUAUAUUAUUUAUGUAUGCAUAACAUAGUCAGUUUUAUUUAUGUUUGGUUUUUCAAAAUAUGGCACAACACUUUGUCACUUUAAAUGCAUGAUAUCACUUUUUUGGCUUAAAGGACCACUCUAGGCACCCAGAC